UCCGAUAUGGUGUAGUGGCUAACAUUAUCGCCUUUCAUAUGUUUCGGUCUAUUGAGCGCGAUAGCCCGGGGUUCAAUUCCCCGUGUCGGAA